UUUCCGUUGAUAGUUUGUAUAAAAAUGUUUCUCUGGAUAUGGAAAUUAGUAUCCAGUAUUCGUCAACCCGUGCUUGGCCGAUUUUCUAAUAUUUUAUUUCUAUCUGCAUUAUGGAAAAAUUGUGCUUUCUGAUAUGAAGAACUAUAAUUGAGGUGUGUGCGAAGCAUAUACGUAUAUGCACAUUGAUAUUGGAAAAAUAAAGUAUAAAUAUAAUUCACUCAAAAUCAUCAUCUAUUAAGUUUUCAGAUAACAAAGUGUCACAUUAUAUUGGACAAAGUUCAUUACAUGAAGAUCCAAUUAUCCAUGAAGACUUUCCCUAAGAUUAUGUUUGUUGGUCUCAUUUGGGUAGGAUGUAGAGCCACCAAAUACAUUGCUUAUUUUCUUAUACAUAGGUCUGACCUUUUAUGUGGGUGACCAUUUACAAUAUGUUUAAAGAGCACAAAAUUUGGUUACUGGAGCAAUUUGAUCUCCAUUUCCAUAAAUAUUUGUUAUCUAUGCUGGUAUAACCUGAAUGAAAUAUUCUAGUGCUCGCUCAAAAUGUAGCUACUGGUUGGGAGAGGAAGGUGCAACUACGUAAUUAAGGUUACGUAUUGAUGUGGUUGUAAUUAGUUAGGAUAGGAUUAGCGUCUACCUUUCCUUAUAGUUGAAUUCAGGGUGGCGUUGGGGAGAAUUUAAUAAGGUUGCGUAAGUCGUUUACGUAGAUUUACCUAGUUGUAGCAUUUUCACUUUCAAGUGCAAAAAAUGCAUCAUAGUUGUUCUGGGAAUGCUUCUAUCGAGUCAAGAGAAAAUAGUGGUAUUUAGAAAUAUCAGACUAAGUAACCAUACAACAUGAUACCAGUAAUAGGAAUAAUUAUGUGCUACCAUAAUGAAACGGAAUCGAGGUCGAGUAUAGUCUGCUGCAGGUUUUACUUUUCCAACAGGGACAGGAAAAGGCCGUAUGUAGAGCUGUAGAUAGAUUGAGAUGAGCGUUUUCCCUUUUAUUUUUCCAAUCGUCAAAUAGACAUGGAGUUGUAGAUGGAUUGAUAUUGAGAUGUGAGUUUUUUUCCAUUUUAUUAUUUCAUACGUGAAAGAGAUGUGGAGUUGUAGAUAGGUUGAGAUUGAGAUGUGAGUUAUAGUGCAGGCAACUUUUCGUCAUGUCGUAUUGCGUAUAAUUUUUUGUCAUGUCUAAAGCACAUUUAGUAGUUAUAGUGCAGGCAACUUUUUAUUUGACCCAACCAAAUUUAAAUUUCAAUGGAAGUAGAUCCAAUUGAUAUCAAUGCACUGCCGACCAUUGUUAAAAUCAUGCUCCCACCGAGGACCGGCUGCCAUAAGUUUGCACCUUUACACACCUACCGUCUCCGUCCAUGUUAUGAGCAUUAGGGCCUCCAUUUAGGAGAAUGAGUUCUCCAUCUCAAUAGUCAUCUCAAAAGCUAAUUUACUAGCAUGUUUUUGCAUAAUAAGAUGACGUGCAAAUCAUGUACAAAUUACUAGUAACACCAGUGUGUACGUAAGCCUUUCCCUUCAAAAUAUAGUUUAUUAGUAUGCUCCCUCAAACAUGAGGUUGGCCUACGAGGUAGCAAUUUUUUUAUAUUAUGGCCUGGUAAUAAAUAAUUUAUUAUCAUAUUCGAUUUAAUUAAUCUUGCCAGAUGUAUUAUAUGUGAUUGCUUAGCGUCAUCUUAUGUUAUAUUUUGUGCAUUCAAAUGAUUUUGUGUCUUAUCAACAUUUUGCAAGUACCAGUAUAGAUGAUCAUGAGUGGAUGUACACUGGCCACCCUAGUCAGGCUGGCAUGACCACUGAGUGGGUGGACAAGACCAAUGAAUUCGUAGAGGCAACAUUUUCUAGUGGCAAGAGAAAAACUUGGUGUCCCUGUUUCGAUUGCGAAAACCAUAGAGAACAGUCAAAGAACACGAUGUGUUUACAUGCAGAAGUAUGGGCUUAAGUUUGGGUAUACCCCGUGAACCUUUCAUGGCGAGAUUGAACGUAGCAGAGAGGAGGCGGUGCAUCGGCGCGCCGACGAUAAUGGUACCGGGAUCCAUGACAAUGUAGCUGACUUCAAUGAUGCACGUGAUGUGGGAUCGGAGGAAGAACCAGAAGAGUCUGUGAGGGUAUUCUUAGAAUUGCUGAAUUCGUCACAACAACCUCUUCACGACUAGUCACAUCUGUGCCAGCUGGAUGCCAUUGGACAAGCAAUGUCUUUGAAGACCCAGUCCAACAUGAGCAGAGAUAACUUUAAUUCAAUGAUGACCUCUUGGAGUCGCUCUCUCCUUAAAGGUCACAAACUGCCUAAAAGUUGGUACAAAGUGAAGAAACCCUACGUGCACUUAAGAUGUCGUAUGAGCAGAUACACGCUUUGCCCAAACGGAUGUUUAUUAUUUACAGAAGAGUAUGCAGGCGACAAGUACUAUGGCAAGUGCGGCUCGUGUAGUUAUAUCGAGAGAGUCCCUAGUGAUGGUACGAAGAAGCAUGCCAAAUUCCAUGCAAAUGUUCUUUGGUAUCUUCCAAUCCCUCCAAGAAUUCAACGACUUUACUUGAAUGAAGAUACAACUGAACAUAUGGUAUGGCACAAAUAUGGGAUAAGACGUGACAAUGAUGAUCAUGGGAGACCAAUGUUGACACAUCCGUCUUGUGCCCUAGCAUGGCAGAAUUUUGAUCGAUUACAUCCUGAGAAAGCAAAAGUGGCAAGGAAUGGACGAGUCUCCAUCUGACUUGAUGGGUUCAAUCCGUUUGGUUUUGUCUCAAAGAUAUAUAGCUGUUGGCAUGUGUUUGUUUUCCCCUCAACCACCCCAGAUGUCCUAAUGCAAAGCAUGCACAUAUUCCUAUCGCUGAUAAUUCCACGGCUCAAGUAUCCGAGGAAGAAUACAAAUGUGUACCUGCAGCCGCUGAUAGAUGACUUGAAAUAAGCUUGGGUGAAUGGGAUACAGACAUACGAUGCUGCUAGCAAGAAAAUUUUCAGAAUGCAUGUUUGGUACAAGCACUCAAUGCAUGACCUAUUAGCGUUCUCACUUUUCAUGGGGUGGUAUGUGCAUGGGAGGUUCCCAUGCCCCAGAUGCAAGGCAAAACUUCAGUGUCGUUGGUUGCAAACAUGGUCGCACGUAUUCUUGCUUAGAUUCCCACAAACAACAUUUAUCGCCUGACCAUCCAUUCAGACAAGACAUGAAGAACUUCAUGAAAGGUGAAGUUGUCCAACACUCGGCACCACCUGAGAUGACAUGUGAAUAGAUUUGUGAUCAACUAAACGCUCUCCAGCCUGAUCACAACCGACCAGGAUAUUUCUUGGGAUAUAAUGUAGAACACGCAUGGACUCAUAAGCCAUGCUUCUGGGAUCUCCCCUACUUCCACCAGCUCGAGCUUCCACAUAACAUUGAUGUAAUGCACACUGAAAAGAUUAUCGCCGAGGACAUUUUUGCACAUUGUUGAACAUUACUGAGAAGAUAAAGGACAAUACUAAGGCUAGACUAGAUCUAAUGAGGCUAUGUGAUAGACCCAAACAAAACUUGCGGCAACCCAAAGACCGGAAAAAUUGGACAACGCCACGGUCUAGGUUUGUUCUUACAAGGUAACAACAGAAGGAGAUACUCAUGUGGUUCAAAACUUUGUUGUUCCCCGAUGGGUAUACAGCGAAUCUAAUGAGGGCAAUGAAUCUUGAUAAAUUGAAGCUCAAUGGGAUGAAGAAUCAUGAUUGGCACAUAUGGCUUAAGCGGUUAAUGUCAGUGAUGAUUCGAGGCUAUAUCCCUGAAUGAUUGGGAAGUAUUGGAAGAGCUUAGCUAUUUCUUCUGUGUUUAUUGUGCUAAAGAAGUAUCUCCUACUAUGAAUGGUGACAUGAAAAAACGGGCAUCUGAGUUACUCUACAAGCUAGAGAAGAUAUUUCCACCAGGCUUCUUUAAUCCGAUGGAACAUAUGCUUUUACAUCUCCCAUAUGAGGCAAGAUUGGGUGGCCGUGUGCAGAAUCGUUGGUGCUUUGGAGUUGAGAGAAUGCAAAAGACUCUUCGAGCUAAAUGCAAAAAUAAAUGUAGAAUUGAAGCAUCCAUAGCCGAGGUAUUCUUGGCUGAAGAGGUGACAAACUUCACGACAUCAUGCUAUGCGGCCAACAUUCCAAGCUUACAUAAUGCGAAGUCUCGUUACAAUGUCGGCGACCGCAAACAUGAGUCGAAGCUCAGCCUCUUCAAAGGGCAACGCGGACCUAUGGGUGCUUCUGGUUCAAAGAAUUUGUCUCUGAAAGAGUGGGGCUCGCUUAUGUUGUAUAUCCUCACCAACCUAAAAGAAGUGCAGCCAUACAUUGAGGGUCGAGCAUGUUUCACUCGAAGAGUAUGAGCAUCUUGCUGGCAAUGGAGACGGCAAUUAUUGUUUCAUUUCUUGGUUUAGAGAAAAGGUAUCCAAAAAUCUUCUAUAUAUCAACGCAAGACUCCACUAGUGGUUGAGAUAGAGUCCCGAUUGGAGGAGGAGAAUAGAUGAGAGGUUGGAGGCAAGGUUGGCAGAGGAGAGGAGACUCGUGGAGGAGAAGAGGGUGGAGGAGAGGCGAUAGGCUGAUGCGAGUAUGGAGCAGGCAUUGGCUGCACAAACUAGGCAAUAUUUUGAGAUGUUUCAGGCCAUGGAUCGAAUAUGGAUGUCUCUUCACAUGCACCAGGCCCAAGUGGCAAUAAGCUUGGUGGUUCUCCUUAUCUUUGAGAUCGACUAAGGUUCCCACCUGGAUGUUCAUUGGACUACGGUAUGGACAUGAAGACACUUGAUGUAGUGGCAAAUCUUACAUAGGAUGCUUGCUUUGUUCAUUGUGUAUCAUCUUUGUUAUGUAACUAUGCUAUAUAUGCAUAUUUCUUAUGGAACUAUGCAAUGGAUAUAUGUUAUGGAACUAUGUUAUGGAUAUGUGUUAUGAAACUAUGCUAUAUAUAUACGGAUCUUUGUUCAUUGUGUA